AGUGAACGCUGGCGGUAGGCCUAACACAUGCAAGUCGAACGGCAGCACAGGAGAGCUUGCUCUCUGGGUGGCGAGUGGCGGACGGGUGAGGAAUACAUCGGAAUCUACUCUGUCGUGGGGGAUAACGUAGGGAAACUUACACUAAUACCGCAUACGACCUACGGGUGAAAGCAGGGGAUCUUCGGACCUUGCGCGAUUGAAUGAGCCGAUGUCGGAUUAGCUAGUUGGCGGGGUAAAGGCCCACCAAGGCGACGAUCCGUAGCUGGUCUGAGAGGAUGAUCAGCCACACUGGAACUGAGACACGGUCCAGACUCCUACGGGAGGCAGCAGUGGGGAAUAUUGGACAAUGGGCGCAAGCCUGAUCCAGCCAUACCGCGUGGGUGAAGGAGGCCUUCGGGUUGUAAAGCCCUUUUGUUGGGAAAGAAAUCCAGCCGGCUAAUACCUGGUUGGGAUGACGGUACCCAAAGAAUAAGCACCGGCUAACUUCGUGCCAGCCGCCGCAGUAAGAC
rnacentral:rRNA from 1 species